GAGUUUGAUCCUGGCUCAGGAUGAACGCUAGCGACAGGCCUAACACAUGCAAGUCGAGGGGCAGCACAUAGGUAGCAAUACUUUGGUGGCGACCGGCGCACGGGUGAGUAACACGUAUGCAACCUACCUGUAAGCGGGGGAUAACCCGGAGAAAUUCGGACUAAUACCGCAUAAUACCGAUUAACUGCAUGGUUGAUUGGUUAAAUAUUUAUAGCUUACAGAUGGGCAUGCGUAACAUUAGCUAGUUGGUGAGGUAACGGCUCACCAAGGCAACGAUGUUUAGGGGUUCUGAGAGGAAGGUCCCCCACACUGGUACUGAGACACGGACCAGACUCCUACGGGAGGCAGCAGUGAGGAAUAUUGGUCAAUGGGCGAGAGCCUGAACCAGCCAAGUCGCGUGAAGGAAGAGUGUCCUAUGGAUUGUAAACUUCUUUUGUAAGGGAAUAAAAAAGGUCACGUGUGGCCUCUUGUAUGUACUUUACGAAUAAGGAUCGGCUAACUCCGUGCCAGCAGCCGCGGUAAUACGGAGGAUCCGAGCGUUAUCCGGAUUUAUUGGGUUUAAAGGGUGCGUAGGCGGACCCUUAAGUCAGUGGUGAAAGUUCGCAGCUCAACUGUAAAAUUGCCAUUGAAACUGAGGGUCUUGAGUGUAAAUGAGGUAGGCGGAAUGUGCCUGUGUA
rnacentral:rRNA from 1 species